GGCAUAGGAGGCCACUUCCUGGGGUGCACACAGGAUGUUUAUAAACACAUUGAAUACACGUGGUUUUGAGGGUAUUCCUGUUUGCGGAUGGAGAAAAUCAGAAAAUGCCGUGAACUAUUUCUUUCGGGGCAUAGGAGGCCACUUCCUGGGGUGCACACAGGAUGUUUAUAAACACAUUGAAUACACGUGGUUUUGAGGGUAUUCCUGUUUGCGGAUGGAGAAAAUCAGAAAAUGCCGUGAACUAUUUCUUUCGGGGCAUAGGAGGCCACUUCCUGGGGUGCACACAGGAUGUUUAUAAACACAUUGAAUACACGUGGUUUUGAGGGUAUUCCUGUUUGCGGAUGGAGAAAAUCAGAAAAUGCCGUGAACUAUUUCUUUCGGGGCAUAGGAGGCCACUUCCUGGGGUGCACACAGGAUGUUUAUAAACACAUUGAAUACACGUGGUUUUGAGGGUAUUCCUGUUUGCGGAUGGAGAAAAUCAGAAAAUGCCGUGAACUAUUUCUUUCGGGGCAUAGGAGGCCACUUCCUGGGGUGCACACAGGAUGUUUAUAAACACAUUGAAUACACGUGGUUUUGAGGGUAUUCCUGUUUGCGGAUGGAGAAAAUCAGAAAAUGCCGUGAACUAUUUCUUUCGGGGCAUAGGAGGCCACUUCCUGGGGUGCACACAGGAUGUUUAUAAACACAUUGAAUACACGUGGUUUUGAGGGUAUUCCUGUUUGCGGAUGGAGAAAAUCAGAAAAUGCCGUGAACUAUUUCUUUCGGGGCAUAGGAGGCCACUUCCUGGGGUGCACACAGGAUGUUUAUAAACACAUUGAAUACACGUGGUUUUGAGGGUAUUCCUGUUUGCGGAUGGAGAAAAUCAGAAAAUGCCGUGAACUAUUUCUUUCGGGGCAUAGGAGGCCACUUCCUGGGGUGCACACAGGAUGUUUAUAAACACAUUGAAUACACGUGGUUUUGAGGGUAUUCCUGUUUGCGGAUGGAGAAAAUCAGAAA